rnacentral:pre_miRNA from 1 species
CUUGUACUCCCUCCGUUCCAAAUUACUCGUCGCAGAAAUGAAUGUAUCUAGAACUAAAAUACAUCUAGAUACAUUCAUUUCUGCGACGAGUAAUUCGGAACGGAGGGAGUACUAG